AUUCACACACAGGUUCUCUAAAGUGGCUUGUGUGGCUCGGAGCACUGUGAACUCCACUAUUGUGUGCAUGGCUCUUUAGCCUUUGGCGCAGGUCGAGUGUUUGUUCCUGAGACUUUUAGCAACUGACUUCUCCAUCCAAGGAUAACAUAUUUAGACUGUAUGUGCAUGACAAAGUAUUAAGCUCCUUUAGACAGCAAAUUUUUAAACAAGAGAUUUAUUUGAAUGCUCUUGGAUGUCAUUCUUCUAUUGACGUUGUUCCUAUAAAAUGCCAUAGAGGAUCAUCCUGGGACGCUGGCCCACUCUGAGCCCGCAUACCAGGAAGUGCUCCUAUGCCAGGGAGGGAUAAGAAGCAUUUUCUUUCUGACAGACUUUUGACAUUGUGCCUUUGCCUCCCUGUUGGCACCACACACACACACAUGCACAUGCACACCCACACAUACUCCAAGGUAGGUAGGUGGAGGGUCACUCAGAAAAAUCAGCAUAGAACACAACGUAAAACUGCUACCAGAGAAAGAAACAGAUUGCACCUGCCUGGGUUGAACAUGAAGAAGAGACGUAGAAACACAUGAUACAGAACAUAUUGUUCAUGAGGCAGAGCACGUUUUUAAUUGCUUGAGUUUCAUCUUAGGGUCAAUGAAGGAAAAGAUAAAGGAGGAAGAGGACAGAGAGUGUGGACCGGGAGGAAACAGGCAGAAAGUGGAAUGAAAAAAAAAAAAUAACGAGGACAAAGAGAGGAAGAGGAAGGAGAAAGAAAAAGUAACGUCACAUCAGCGGCUCCUGGGUUCUGAGGUGCGAUCGCUGGUCGUAGGUCAGCCGCUUUAGUCACAUCCUGUUAUUCACUUUGGGCAUCAGAGUACAUAGUCACUACCCUUUGAAAUUUCCAUACUCUCUACAGUGAUUGUGGGGCACUCUUUCUUUACUGGGAAACUGUUUAUCCGCUCUUAUUUUCAAUCUUUAAGCUUUUUUUUUUUUUUCAGGUUUCUUUUUUUCCUAUGAAGACCAGAAUGUUUUGAAAUGGGUAAAAUAACACAUUUGGUCUUGACUCUUUCCAUUUUAGUCUCAAUCUUGGGCCACUUUAACAAUUCCCAGACGUAGAAGAAUGGCUUCUUGAUAUAAGAAUAGAAAUAUAACAUUUAAAAAUAUUCAUAAUGAUUAUUAUCUUGUUUUGCUGUGUUCUGUCAUUCGUAAGGGGCACGUUUUGGUUCACCAGAGCUGUGCUUUAGUCUGGGCUGUUCAUUUGACUAAACCACGGUCUCGUGCCUGUCUAGUUUGUGUGAGGGGUUACUGAAGCCGGGGGUACCCCAUUAUGGAUCUGGCACAAAGGAGACAGAAAUGAGUCAGUUCUUCCCUCCAACUUCCUUCCAAUGCCACUAACCCCCAAGUAAAAAAAAAAAUACAUAAAGAACUCUUCCUGUCUUUUAAUUUCCAUUGAUCACACUGAAUGGCAUAAUCACAUUAGCUCAUAGAGCACAAAAUCAUUUCCCAGCUCUGGCUCUGUGAACCCUGGGCUCAGGGCAACGUGAAUUUGGUUCUCUGUGUAAUUUUACCCGGAUUCUGCUCCUAAAAGGAGACUGAUGUCAAACUCCCACUUUGCAGAAUCCUAUAUGACCAGGUCAAGGUGCAGCCACUGGAGAUGAAGGCCUCCUGGGAUCCAGACCAUUCAUGGAACUCAAUCAAGGAUUUCAGUAGUACCUGAGAUGAAAAUAUCACUUUUAUCCACUUAGGGCCUAUUUCUCAUUCCCUUCAGGAAGAGAUUUAUAUCUGUAUAAAGCUUCAAAUAGAGUGAUUAAUUAGAGGCAUUGUGUGACUUCAAAGAAGCCAAGAAAAUUAGAAUAAUUCCAAGUAAUACUGUUUUCUGCAGACAAAGCCCAGAGAAUCUUGAAUCUUAGCCCUGGAAAUAACAUAGACGUCAUUUAGCCUAAUCACUUACCCCGCACAGAGACUGCCUUGAUUCUAGAUCUGAUAGCUCUUCCUGGGAACGUAGAAUGACCUAACACGUAUUGCCUUUCAAGGCAGCUCUAUGUGUCAUGAGAGAGCUCUGGUCAUUUAGAAAUCAGCCUUUAUAAGGAGCUGUUUGUCUGCCUCUCUGUGCUGCCCACCUCUCACUCUUAAUUCCGGGUAAGAGAUUUCUGCUAAUUUUUCUUCCUUGAGGUGGCCUUUGGUCUUCGGAACAACCGUCACACCACUCUAAGCAUGUUCUUCCUUCGGUUUGAGUUUCCAGUUUCAGAACCCUUUCUCUCAUGAAAUAUUUCUGGAUUCCUCAACAUCCCUGUUCCUAUUAAAACUGUUUAUCUACCUUGGGCACACCUUAACUAUGCCGGGAAAACAGUGAACCGAUUGUCUCCUGUAAGACAGUAUUUUAACUGUGGAGGUCAAAGUUUAUGUUGGAUUUUGUUUUGUUGCUUUUUAAAAUUUCACUUUUAUUUUUAUAAAACCUACACCACUACUUACAAUAAGUUUAUGGGAUCAAACCCAUGCCAUAGUAGUGAUGUGGGACCCAGCAGUGACAUCACCACGUCUUUAACCCAUUGAGCCACCAGGGAAUUCCUGUAGUACUUUUUUUUUUUUUUUUUAAGAAUUUUUUAAAACCCUGAACUUACCAGACCUUACUAGCCCAUGGCAACAAAUGAGGUUAUGUUAGCUUUAAAAAUUUUAAAUUCAUUAGCUUUUCCAGCAUUUGCUGUAGUAGUUCUCUAUGCGUUCCAUCUAAUUAUUUUAGGGAGUCCCCCAGGGUGUCUCAAAAGAACAAGUCCCCUCUUGAAGGCACUUCUCCUCUACCAGGCCAAGCAGCAAUUUGCAGUCCCCAAGGCUCAGCGUGUCCUGCUGCUACCCAGCAAGUCAGGUGAACAACCAUAAAGCCAUACUUCUACUUUACAGCUGCUCCACUGAUAUUAAACUUUCUCCUUUUGUUCCUGAUAUUGCACAGGAUUACAUGUAAUAUCUCCUGACUUACAGUUCUCUGCUCUCACCAGUGCCCAAAGAUCUGUCCCUAGGAAUGCAGUCACAUUAACAAGUCCAAUGUUCCUUUCCAAUGGCUCUCCCAUCUGAGAGCUGAGGCGUGUUAUUGGGCUAAGCUCCUGGUGCCCAAUGCCUUCUAUUGUACAAGGAGCUCUCUAUAAGGAAACCACUAAAUCCUCUGCAAAUAGAUCUUUCAGACCCUGUCUUUUUUUCUUUUUGAAAGGAAUAUUGUACUCUCAACAUUUUUAACGGAUCACUAAAGAUUCCUCAAACUUGGCAUUUUUAAUUCCUCCAUAAUAUCCAUUUUAUGGAUAUAACAUGCUAGAACAUAUUUGUCCAUUUUUCCAUUGCUCAGAAUAUUAGGUUUUAUAUGUGGAUAGCUUAUUAUUUUUAGCAAAUAUUAUAUUUUACCUUAUUCUUAUUAGACUAGUCAGCUUAUUAUUUAGCAUUUGUAGAUAAUUUCAUACCUUAAUUACAUCAUUCAAUAUAUUAGUAUCAUUUCCAGCUUUUGGCUUUAGAUAUGCAUGUUUAAGAUGAAUCUAUGACUUCUUUAUCAUCACACCAAUUUUAGUUGCUUAUAGACCAAGAGCUUAUGUUUCAGCCUACAGAGCUUCCCUAGCCCUUGAAGUGAAAUCUCUGUGUAAAAGAGAGACAUAAAUAUGCAGAGUAUAUCAAAAUCUUGGUUGUAAUUUCAAAUGUCAAUGAAUAUUAAUAUCAGCUGCUAACUAAUAUAUUUCUUUGUAAUCACUUCAAGCCCUCCUCAUUAAAAAUGCAUCAUAUAAAAUGAAUUAUGGAAUUAAAAGGACCUGCAGUAUGGUCUAGUUCAAAGACUUAAUUUCUUUCUUUGAGGGGAUUUUUAUUUUUUCCAUUAUAGUCGGUUUACAGUGUUCUAUCAAUUUCUACUGCACAGCAAAGUGAUCCAGUCACACACACACACAUAUAUAUACAUUCUUUUUCUCAAAUUAGCCUCCAUCAUGUUCCAUCACAAGUGACUAGAUAUAGUUCCAUGUGCUAUACAGCAGGAUCUCAUUGCUUAUCCAUUCCAAAUGCAAUAGUUUACAUCUAUUAACCCCAGACCCCCAGUCCAUCCCACUUCCUCCCCCUUGGUAAUCACAAGUCUGUUCUCCAAGUCCAUGCUUCCCUCCCCCCACUGUGGAGUGUUUCAUUUGUGCCCUAUAUUAGAUUCCAGAUAUAUGCGAUAUCAUAUGGUAUUUGUCUUUCUCUUCCUAACUUACUACACUUAAUAUGGAAGUCUCUAGUUUCAUCCAUGUUGCUGCAAAUGGCAUUAUUUUGUUCUUUUUUAUGGCUGAAUAGUAUUCCAUUGUGCAUAUAUACCACAUCUUAAUCCAUUCAUCUGUUGGUGGACAUUUAGGUUGUUUCCAUGUCUUGGCUAUUGUGAAUAGUGCUGCAAUGAACAUAUGGGUGCAUGUAUCUUUUUCAAGGAAAGCUUCAUCCAGAUAUAUGUCCAUGAGUGGGAUUGCUGGGUCAUAUGGUAGUUCUAUAUUUAGUUUCCAGAGGUACCUCCAUACUGUUUUCCAUAGUGGUUUUACCUAUUUACAUUCCCACCAGCAGCAUGGAAGGGUACCCUUUUCUGUACACUCUCUAGCAUUUAUUUGUUGACUUGUUAAUGAUAGCCGUUCUGGCUGGUGUGAGGUGAUACCUCAUAGUAGUUUUGAUUUGCAUUUCUCAAAUUAUUAGUGAUGUUGAGUAUUUUUUGGCCAUCUGUGUAUCUUCUUUGGAGAAAUGUCUCCUCAGGUCUUUUGCCCAUUUUUCAAUUGGGUUGUUGAUUUUUUGCUGUUGAGUUGUAUAAGUUGUUUGUAUAUUUGAGAGAUUAAGCCCUUGUCAUUUGCAUUGUUUGAAACUAUUUUCUCCCAUUCCAUAGGUUGUCUUUUUGUUUUUUUUAUGAUUUCAUUUGCUGUGCAAAAAGCUUGUCAAAGACCUAAUUUCAACAAGUCAUUUAUCAUACCCCUUCUAUAUCCUAAAGGCAAUACAAACAUUGGGGAUAAAAUGACCCUAUGCUGGUUAUGUGGGUGAUAAAUGAGUGAAUAGAAGUGAUAUAAGAUAUGAAAAGAGAAGUAAGUAAUACUGAAGCCACACCUUUAAAACAAAAAUCAGCAAGUAACCGAAUAUGUGGAGCUAAUAGACAGGAAAGGACAUGGUGUGUCUGGCACUGAAUUUCUCUAGCUACAGCCCUGAAGUACCUGCACACAAUACACUCUCUGGUACCCUUAGAUGAAGCUGCAAAAAGAUGUGAGCCUGGGAGUUCCCAUCAUGGCUCAGUGGAAACGAAUCUGACUAGGAAUCCACGAGGAUACUAGUUCAGGUUCAAUCCUUGGUCUUGCUCAGUGGGUUAAAGAUCCGACGUUUCCAUGAGCUGAGAUUUGGCUUGGAUCCAGUGUUGCUGUGGCUGUGGUGUAGAUCAGCAGCCACAGCUCUAAUUUGACCCCUAGCCUGGGAACCUCCAUAUGCC
rnacentral:lncRNA from 1 species